rnacentral:rRNA from 1 species
CCCAGACUCCUACGGGAGGCAGCAGUGAGGAAUAUUGGUCAAUGGACGAGAGUCUGAACCAGCCAAGUAGCGUGAAGGAUGACUGCCCUAUGGGUUGUAAACUUCUUUUAUAUGGGAAUAAAACAGGGUAUGGAUACCCUCUUGUAUGUACCAUAUGAAUAAGGAUCGGCUAACUCCGUGCCAGCAGCCGCGGUAAUACGGAGGAUCCGAGCGUUAUCCGGAUUUAUUGGGUUUAAAGGGAGCGUAGGUGGAUUGUUAAGUCAGUUGUGAAAGUUUGCGGCUCAACCGUAAAAUUGCAGUUGAAACUGGCAGUCUUGAGUACAGUAGAGGUGGGCGGAAUUCGUGGUGUAGCGGUGAAAUGCAUAGAUAUCACGCAGAACUCCGAUUGCGAAGGCAGCAUACCGGCGCUCAACUGACGCUCAUGCACGAAAGCGUGGGUAUCGAACAGGAUUAGAUACCCCAGUACC